CCCUUAGAUGUCCGGGGCUGCACGCGCGCUACACUGAAGGAAUCAGCGUGCUAAAACCAUUGUCGAAAGGCAUUGGUAAACCCAUUAAAAUCCUACGUGAUUGGGAUCGGGAAUUGCAAUUAUUUCCCUUGAACGAGGAAUUCCCAGUAAGUGUGGGUCAUAAGCUCGCGUUGAUUACGUCCCUGCCCUUUGUACACACCGCCCGUCGCUCCUACCGAUUGAGUGUGUUGGUGAGGAGUUCGGAUUGGCAGCAGGUGGUGGUUCGCCACCGCCUAUUGCUGAGAAGUUCUCCAAACCGCCCCACUUAGAGGAAGGAGAAGUCGUAACA
rnacentral:rRNA from 1 species